rnacentral:rRNA from 2 species
AUACNUGCAGUCGACGAACUCUGGUAUUGAUUGGUGCUUGCAUCAUGAUUUACAUUUGAGUGAGUGGCGAACUGGUGAGUAACACGUGGGAAACCUGCCCAGAAGCGGGGGAUAACACCUGGAAACAGAUGCUAAUACCGCAUAACAACUUGGACCGCAUGGUCCGAGUUUGAAAGAUGGCUUCGGCUAUCACUUUUGGAUGGUCCCGCGGCGUAUUAGCUAGAUGGUGGGGUAACGGCUCACCAUGGCAAUGAUACGUAGCCGACCUGAGAGGGUAAUCGGCCACAUUGGGACUGAGACACGGCCCAAACUCCUACGGGAGGCAGCAGUAGGGAAUCUUCCACAAUGGACGAAAGUCUGAUGGAGCAACGCCGCGUGAGUGAAGAAGGGUUUCGGCUCGUAAAACUCUGUUGUUAAAGAAGAACAUAUCUGAGAGUAACUGUUCAGGUAUUGACGGUAUUUAACCAGAAAGCCACGGCUAACUACGUGCCAGNA